rnacentral:rRNA from 1 species
GGUGAACGCUGGCGGCGUGCCUAAGACAUGCAAGUCGAGCGGGGCAGGUUUAUACCUGUUCAGCGGCGGACGGGUGAGUAACGCGUGGGUGACCUACCCGGAAGAGGCGGACAACCUGGGGAAACCCAGGCUAAUCCGCCAUGUGGUCCUAUCCUGUGGGGUAGGACUAAAGGGGCGACCCGCUUCCGGAUGGGCCCGCGUCCCAUCAGCUAGUUGGUGGGGUAAAGGCCCACCAAGGCGACGACGGGUAGCCGGUCUGAGAGGAUGGCCGGCCACAGGGGCACUGGGAAACGGGCCCCACUCCUACGGGAGGCAGCAGGUAGGGAGCUUCCGGAAUGGACGGAAGUCUGACGGAGCGACGCCGCUUUGAGGAGGAAGCCCUUCGGGGUGUAAACUCCUGAACUGGGGACGAAAGCCCUGUGUAGGGGGAUGACGGUACCCAGGGAAUAGCGCCGGCCAACUCCGUG